rnacentral:rRNA from 1 species
GACGGGGACCCGCACAAGCGGUGGAUGAUGUGGAUUAAUCGAUGCAACGCGAAAACCUUACCUACCCUUGACAUGUCCGGAAUCCCGAAGAGAUUUGGGAGUGCUCGCAAGAGAGCCGGAACACAGGUGCUGCAUGGCUGUCGUCAGCUCGUGUCGUGAGAUGUUGGGUUAAGUCCCGCAACGAGCGCAACCCUUGUCAUUAGUUGCCAUCAUUUGGUUGGGCACUCUAAUGAGACUGCCGGUGACAAACCGGAGGAAGGUGGGGAUGACGUCAAGUCCUCAUGGCCCUUAUGGGUAGGGCUUCACACGUCAUACAAUGGUCGGUACAGAGGGUUGCCAACCCGCGAGGGGGAGCUAAUCCCACAAAGCCGAUCGUAGUCCGGAUCGCAGUCUGCAACUCGACUGCGUGAAGUCGGAAUCGCUAGUAAUCGUGGAUCAGCAUGUCACGGUGAAUACGUUCCCGGGUCUU